AUUGAACGCUGGCGGCAUGCCUUACACAUGCAAGUCGAACGGCAGCACGGGAGCAAUCCUGGUGGCGAGUGGCGAACGGGUGAGUAAUAUAUCGGAACGUGCCCGGUCGUGGGGGAUAACGUAGCGAAAGCUACGCUAAUACCGCAUACGAUCUACGGAUGAAAGCGGGGGAUCGCAAGACCUCGCGCGAUUGGAGCGGCCGAUAUCAGAUUAGGUAGUUGGUGAGGUAAAGGCUCACCAAGCCGACGAUCUGUAGCUGGUCUGAGAGGACGACCAGCCACACUGGGACUGAGACACGGCCCAGACUCCUACGGGAGGCAGCAGUGGGGAAUUUUGGACAAUGGCGCAAGCCUGAUCCAGCAAUGCCGCGUGCAGGAUGAA
rnacentral:rRNA from 1 species